AAUGAACGUUGGCGGCGUGGAUUAGGCAUGCAAGUCGAGCGGUAAGGCCCCGCAAGGGGUACACGAGCGGCGUAAGGGACAGUAAUGUGUAGGUACGUACCUCCGGGCCUGGGAUAGCUGCGGGAAACUGCAAUUAAUACCAGAUAAUGUCUCCGGACCAAAGGGGUGAUUCCGCCGGGAGAGCGGCCUACAUCCUAUUAGCUAGUUGGCGGGGUAACGGCCCACCAAGGCUCAGAUGGGUAGCAGGUGUGAGAGCACGACCUGCGUCACUGGGACUGAGACACUGCCCAGACACCUACGGGUGGCUGCAGUCGAGAAUCUUCGGCAAUGAGCGCAAGCUUGACCGAGCGACGCCGCGUGCGGGAUGAAGGCCUUCGGGUUGUAAACCGCUGUCAGAGAGGACGAAGUGCUAGUGGGUACUCUCAUUAGCUUGACUGAUCCUCAAAGGAAGGGUGGGCUAAGUUCGUGCCAGCCGCCGCCGUAAGAC
rnacentral:rRNA from 1 species